rnacentral:rRNA from 1 species
UACGUAGGGGGCAAGCGUUGUCCGGAAUUAUUGGGCGUAAAGAGCGCGUAGGCGGUCCGAUAAGUCGGCUGUGAAAGUCAGGGGCUCAACCCUUGAAAGCCGGCCGAUACUGUCGGACUAGAGUCCGGAAGAGGCGAGUGGAAUUCCUGGUGUAGCGGUGAAAUGCGCAGAUAUCAGGAGGAACACCGAUUGCGAAGGCAGCUCGCUGGGACGUAACUGACGCUGAGACGCGAAAGCGUGGGGAGCAAACAGG